GUGAGUUUCGAAUACAGCAUCCUUUCUCUAUUGUGAUCUUACUGGACGUCAGGUUCCCAGAACUUGGAACUGAGUUUGUUCCUUCUGACAAACAUCUCCCCAUUUCCCUGUCCCUUGCUUGUUUGUAACAAAGUCUCACGCCAGAGACUUGUGGGACCCUGCAUCUGUUCCUAUUCUGGAGAACAGAAAUGGGUGGGGUUCGGGGACAGGAACACUUAAGGGACAAGGAAAAGACAAAGACCUGCUUGUCUUCCUCAGUGCCUGAGGUCACGUGGUGAACUGUAGGCUCCCAGAGGACUCAGUUUACAAACUGGGAAAGGAUGCUGCUGCCUGGCUAGUCCCAAAUUUAUAGUGCCUCAGACAGUGACACCAUGUGCUGUGUUCUUUAGAAGGAGCCUGUGGAUUCAUUUAAAGAAGCUGCUCCAUCCUGUGCUUCAUGAUUCGUUCCACGAUACGUUCUCCCUGGACCAUCUCUUCAAUCAGCUAUGUUAAGCCUUCCAGAUGCUUCCAGUGCCCAAGCUACAGCACUGCAGUCCCUGCAGGAGUCCUACCUCGCAAAGCAGCAAAGGGUUUCCCUCUUUUACAAAUCCAGAAACACAUUCGUUAAUCUUCCCUAAGAGCCUCAGUGUCGAAAAGUUUUACUCCAAAUUGCAACGGCCUAUUAUCUUCAAAAAAAAAAAAAAUUCAAGUAAUAAAUGUAGUAUCAAAAAUAGAGAAUACAAGUGAGCACAAAGCUCGCAGUCUCCGUUUCAGAACAAAUACCACAAGCAUUUAGUGUACGCGCUUACAGAGUAUACACUCGUGUAUAUGAUACAAAACCCAGAAUCUUUAUGUCAUAGCAUCUUGAAAUCUACCAUCUGGAUAUCUUCUGUGUAACAAGACUUCCUUUCCUAGUGGCUACACGAUGCUGAACUGUAUAGAAGCAUCUCAUUUCUACAGGAGACACCAUAAUUUUAUAUUUGUA